UACGUAGGGUGCAAGCGUUAAUCGGAAUUACUGGGCGUAAAGCGUGCGCAGGCGGUUUUGUAAGUCUGUCGUGAAAGCCCCGGGCUCAACCUGGGAAUUGCGAUGGAGACUGCAAGGCUUGAAUCCGGCAGAGGGGGGUAGAAUUCCACGUGUAGCAGUGAAAUGCGUAGAGAUGUGGAGGAACACCGAUGGCGAAGGCAGCCCCCUGGGUCAAGACUGACGCUCAUGCACGAAAGCGUGGGGAGCAAACAGG
rnacentral:rRNA from 1 species